AGCAGCCGCGGUAAUUCCAGCUCCAAUAGCGUAUAUUAAAGUUGUUGCAGUUAAAAAGCUCGUAGUUGAAUUUCGGGAUCAAUACGUCGGUCGUGCUUCGGUACGUACUGGUGUCAUUGAUUUCUCCCUUCUGACGAACCAUGAUGUCAUUAACUUGGUGUCAUGGGAAAUCAGGACUGUUACUUUGAAAAAAUUAGAGUGUUUAAAGCAAGCUAACGCUUGAAUACAUUAGCAUGGAAUAAUGAAAUAGGACGUUCGAUCCUAUUUUGUUGGUUUCUAGGAUUGACGUAAUGAUUAAUAGGGAUAGUUGGGGGCAUUAGUAUUCAAUUGUCAGAGGUGAAAUUCUUGGAUUUAUUGAAGACUAACUACUGCGAAAGCAUUUGCCAAGGAUGUUUUCAUUAAUCAAGAACGAAAGUUAGGGGAUCGAAGACGAUCAGAUACCGUCGUAGUCUUAACCAUAAACUAUGCCGACUAGGGAUCGGAUGAUGUUAAUUUUUUAAUGACUCAUUCGGCGCCUUACG
rnacentral:rRNA from 1 species